rnacentral:rRNA from 1 species
GACGAACGCUGGCGGCGUGCCUAAUACAUGCAAGUAGAACGCUGAAGGAGGAGCUUGCUUCUCUGGAUGAGUUGCGAACGGGUGAGUAACGCGUAGGUAACCUGCCUGGUAGCGGGGGAUAACUAUUGGAAACGAUAGCUAAUACCGCAUAAUAGUAGAUGUUGCAUGACAUUUGCUUAAAAGGUGCAAUUGCAUCACUACCAGAUGGACCUGCGUUGUAUUAGCUAGUUGGUGGGGUAACGGCUCACCAAGGCGACGAUACAUAGCCGACCUGAGAGGGUGAUCGGCCACACUGGGACUGAGACACGGCCCAGACUCCUACGGGAGGCAGCAGUAGGGAAUCUUCGGCAAUGGACGGAAGUCUGACCGAGCAACGCCGCGUGAGUGAAGAAGGUUUUCGGAUCGUAAAGCUCUGUUGUAAGAGAAGAACGAGUGUGAGAGUGGAAAGUUCACACUGUGACGGUAUCUGACCAGAAAGGGACGGCUAACUACGUG